CCGAGCGAGGGCCUCCGGCCCGACCUCCAACCCUUUGUUGACCAACACCUGUUGCCUCGGGGGCGACCCGGCCUCCGCGCCGGCGCCCUCGGCGGACCACUUCAACUCUGUGUCUAUACGUCGGAGUAAUUAGUGAAUCAAUCA
rnacentral:misc_RNA from 1 species